rnacentral:rRNA from 1 species
GAUGAACGCUGGCGGCGUGCUUAACACAUGCAAGUCGAACGGAAAGGCUCCUGCUUGCAGGGGUACUCGAGUGGCGAACGGGUGAGUAACACGUGGGUGAUCUGCCCUGCACUUCGGGAUAAGCCUGGGAAACUGGGUCUAAUACCGGAUAGGACGAUGGUUUGGAUGCCAUUGUGGAAAGUUUUUCGGUGUGGGAUGAGCUCGCGGCCUAUCAGCUUGUUGGUGGGGUAAUGGCCUACCAAGGCGUCGACGGGUAGCCGGCCUGAGAGGGUGUACGGCCACAUUGGGACUGAGAUACGGCCCAGACUCCUACGGGAGGCAGCAGUGGGGAAUAUUGCACAAUGGGCGCAAGCCUGAUGCAGCGACGCCGCGUGGGGGAUAACGGCCUUCGGGUUGUAAACUCCUUUCGCUAGGGACGAAGCGCAAGUGACGGUACCUGGAGAAGAAGCACCGGCUAACUACGUG